GGCUCAGGACGAACGCUGGCGGCGUGCCUAAUACAUGCAAGUAGAACGCUGAAGGAGGAGCUUGCUUCUCUGGAUGAGUUGCGAACGGGUGAGUAACGCGUAGGUAACCUGCCUGGUAGCGGGGGAUAACUAUUGGAAACGAUAGCUAAUACCGCAUAACAGUAGAUGUUGCAUGACAUUUGCUUAAAAGGUGCAAUUGCAUCACUACCAGAUGGACCUGCGUUGUAUUAGCUAGUUGGUGGGGUAACGGCUCACCAAGGCGACGAUACAUAGCCGACCUGAGAGGGUGAUCGGCCACACUGGGACUGAGACACGGCCCAGACUCCUACGGGAGGCAGCAGAAGGG
rnacentral:rRNA from 1 species